rnacentral:lncRNA from 1 species
GGGGAAGGGAGCUCGGCCCGAGCGGCUGUGGCGCGUGGCCUGAGGCGGAGAGCCGGGCGGGCUGCUGGGGUCUGGGCCCGCCCGGCGCCGGCCUGACCCGCCUCGCCGGCAAAUGCAGCCCGGGCUUCCUCCUCCCAGGCGGGCGGCGGGGGAGGGAAGGGAGGUGGAGGCCGGGGAAGGAGGGAAAGGUGGUCCUGAUUCUCUCGUGGCCAGAGACUACAAAACUGAUUCUGGCCUCCUGCGGAGACGCCUCUGCGCCCUCCAGCAGACCUGCUGUGCCCCCUCCCCAGGCACCCGGGCCCCGACAGGGUCCAGGAUGCCCCCCUCCCAGGGAGCCGCGGGCGGAGCUCCGAGGGACAGAGGAGGCGACCGAGAAGGAUGCUGCCGCCGCCACCGCCCUUGCCGUAGAGCCCGGGCUCCCGUAGUGCGCGAGGCUUCCCUUCCUAGGGCUAGGGGCUGGCGAGUGGCCUGGACGCCUGGGACCCCGCCUCUUGGAGUCGAGCGAGCGAGACACAGCCACCGCCCUCGGAAGAGCCGGGUUGUAGUGCGGAGCAUGAGACAGCGGGAGGCACCUUGGCCUAUCUGAAACCCCGGGCCUCGAGGCGGCUGCUUUAGGCGUCAAGUUGAGCGGGGUAUGUGUGCCCUCUUGGGGAAAGGGUAAGAAAAGGAGCCUGACUUUCCCUCCUCGGUUGGGGCAAACUGGGUCCCACUCACACACACCCAAACACAUGCCCAUGUGCAAGUCCCUCCCACCUGCCCUCCCUGGGGCGCAGAGACCCUAUCCGGGUGGAAGUGGGGAACCCCCAGUGCCCGCAGAAACGGAGUCCCUGGCGCAAGAAGGUGGAACGGGUUCCUCAGCCUGGACCCUGGCGUGGUGAACCCAGAAAGCCGAAACCCACGCAGCCAGCAACACCCAUCCGAACCUGGCGACUGGCGUGACCAGGCGAGCUCCGCGGGGCCGCGAUGCGGGAAGAGGUUGCCCUGGGGCGCGAACGCAGCGCACCGUGGGUAACCAGCAAAGCAGAGCCUCCGGGUUGAAGUCCUAAAGUUACUAAUCUGGCUCAGGGGUAGAAAGCGUGCCUCAGACCGCCCGGGGCGGUCAUUUGAGCGUGUUUACUUAAGGACUUUGCAAACCGAGCGCGCGCGAAAUAGUCGAAUUUCCAGCGAGGCAGCAAAUAUUUGCAGGCGGGAGAAAGAAGCGGAGCCGGGCCGCGCCGCAGCGUCCCUCCCCCCGGAGUCGCGGCGCCGGCCUGGGCGGACCCAGCCGAGCUGUUAAGGACUGAAAUGAAGCCGGGAACUUGCGGGGCUGGGGGGCAGGGAGAGCUCAGAGCGGCUCCAAAGGCCAGCAGGGGAGCAAGGCCCGAGGCCCUGGCGAGCCUGGGCUGGGGGAGAAGUCCCUUCCCAUUCCAGCUCGAUCAAUCUUCCUUGGCUGGGAUCGGUCAAUAAAAAUAGUGUGAAGCGGUGGUGGUAGCAGAGCGUCUGGGGAGGAAGUGGAGGCCAGAGGUGUCGAGGCCGGCGCCGGUGCCCCUCACCAGCCGGGUGCGCGCCCCCAUGGUCUGCAAACCUCAGGCCCGGGCCCAGAUCCUCUCGGGCCGCCGAGCGCGGCCAGGCAAGGCCUUUAAUUGGGUGUCUCCAUUUUAACAGUGUCCAUUGUUAGGGCAAUUAGCGAGAGACAAUCAGCACCGAGAGGCGUUUAAUUCGAUACUGUGCGCCCGCCGCAGCCUCGGCCGGGGCGCUUAGAACGACUGGCCGCGGCUUCCCCGGAGGACUGGGGAGGCGCCCGUUCCUUUCCUUGCGCGUUUUGUCUCAGGUGUGAGAGUGAAAGGUAGGCGACUGGGAAGAGAGCAACCUGAGACAGGCCUUGGCGGGAAACCCGUCAGGGCCUCAAAAUCUCUGCCAGGCGCCCCUGGGUGCCUUCUGGGCGCGCGCGCCCGGGCUGCGUCGCUGCCGGAGUUCCCAGGCCUGCUAGGAAAACGACGAGAGGAACGCGACCUGGAAACCAGUUUCCUUCUCCUUUUUGUGGGGUCCUCUCCUCAGCCACCCGAACCAAGUCCGAAUUUCCUUCCUGAUCAGAGAAGGCGGAGCAAAAGAGAGACCCUGGUUUGUGGCACGUACACACCUCCUUCUCGUACGGAGCCAGCCCCACUACCCCCUCCUCUGCCUCGGCCCCCGGAUUAGGUUACCGUGGUCGGGCAAGGAUUUUUACUGGAUACGAGAAUAACACAGGUAAAGCUGUAUAAACACCUCUCCGGCUGCCGGGCAGGAGGGUUACUCCGGGGACGCGGCCCAAGGCGCCACCGCCGGGCCAGGCUGCGCGGACCCAAACGCGGCGAAGCCCUCUCGGGAGCGGCAACCCGGCUGCACAGGUUAAACCAUAUCAUAUAUCCACGCCGCGCCCACCAGUGCCCUCUUUCUCUUUCCCGCAUGAGCUGAAAUGCAGAGUAGGGAGCGGAAUCACAGCGUGAUGAGAACCCCAGUGCUGGCUGAGGACCCCAGCUCAGCAAGUUUGACCCUUUUAAAAUAAAACACAGCGAGCAAGGACUUUGGGGAUAUGGAGAAAAAAAAGGCACCCAAAACUCACUCUCAACGGGAAGAUGCGGGAAGUGAACGCGUCCAAGGAGAGAACCCGUAGGAACUGCUACGAAAAGAGCUAUGUAUACUCGCCUUUUCUCCCGGCUCCCACGCCCAACCUCACGGGCCUGGGGUCUUCCCCCCCCCCCCCCGUGUGGAAUGAGCCACCUCUUUGGCAGUGAAAUGUGGUUUGAUUUACCCUUUUCUCUUUGUUUUUUGCUUAUUCAUCUGUCACUGCUUAAAACUCGGAAGGAAACCCGCCCAGGCCAGGAGGAGCGGAGAGCUAUGUGGAGAGUCAAAGAGAGAAGAGAUGCGCUCGGAGAUUACCCAUUCGCACUCCGCCCCCAGCCCCAGCCGCGGCGGGGGUCCCCGGUUUCGAGGGAUGCUGUCCCUCCCUCCGCCCCUACCACCUUAUUCCCAGGCUGAGAAAACCUCUGAUAGUAGCAAGAUAAAAAUUGGAUAGGUUUGGGGAACAGGUGGGAGCCUUACAAGAAGAGGAAGAGAUGGAGGUGUCCCAGGGGGCCAGCACCAGUCUCCGGAGCCGUGGCCUACUUAUCCUCCCCUCGCCCCCUUGCGCACCUCUGAUUCCCAGCUGCCUUCUCAGCCAGGGACUCGCUGUUCCAGACCUGGCCUCUCCUUCUGCAGGCCCUUCAGACGGAAUCGCUGGAGCAACCUGGGCCCUAGACCCGGUGCCCAGGUCCUAGCAUUCUUCGGGUGAAAGGGGGUGCCCUGUGGUUCUCAGACCGCCCCCCCCCGGGCUUCUGUCCAUGCCCCUUGACCCUCCGGGGUGUAGCCACUACCUCUCGGCUACCCAUCUUCAGACCCCCCUAGCAGCCCAGGCCUCUAGCGCCAGCCUUAGCCGCUCUCAUUUGGCACCUCAGACGGAAAAGGUGGGCUUUAUCUCGGGGGUUUUGGGCUUUUACUCCUCUAGACCAGCCCGAGGAAAGUGAUUGUUGCAGGAUAACGACCGUGGGAGUCCGGAGUGGAGGGGGGGGCGGUGUUCCUCGCAGGGAUCGGGAAGAUGUGGGGAGGCUAAUACUGUGCGGAUCCUGGAAAGAGCACAGGUGGGCUUUUAAAAGCAAGAAGCUUUCCAGUCUCUGGGCUGGCUGGACGCUGCACAGCAAAAUCCGUGAAUGCGCAAGGAGCCGAGGUGCGAAGUGGAUGGCCUCUUGCACACCUUUCGCGUGGCCCUCCUCCCACCGGCCGGCUGGGUAUCAGCCUCUGCAGCUAGCGCCUCAGCGCGCGAGCGCUCGGCUCUCCACCGCCUGCCCCCUCGUGGACCUCCAGCAAUUUGUUAUAUAAAAUAAAACAGCAACCAGAAACAUA